ACGGGUGAGUAACACGUAGGUAACCUGCCUAUGAGACUGGGAUAACUAUCGGAAACGAUAGCUAAGACCGGAUAACUGGUUUUCUCGCAUGAGAGAAUCAUGAAACACGGAGCAAUCUGUGGCUUAUAGAUGGGCCUGCGGCGCAUUAGCUAGUUGGUAGGGUAAUGGCCUACCAAGGCGACGAUGCGUAGCCGACCUGAGAGGGUGACCGGCCACACUGGGACUGAGACACGGCCCAGACUCCUACGGGAGGCAGCAGUAGGGAAUCUUCCGCAAUGGACGCAAGUCUGACGGAGCAACGCCGCGUGAGUGAUGAAGGUUUUCGGAUCGUAAAGCUCUGUUGCCCUAGACGAACAGCAUGAGGAGUAACUGCCUUGUGUGUGACGGUAUAGGAGAAGAAAGCCCCGGCUAACUACGUGCCAGCAGCCGCGGUAAUACGUAGGGGGCAAGCGUUGUCCGGAAUUAUUGGGCGUAAAGCGCGCGCAGGCGGUUAAUUAAGUUGGGUGUUUAAGCCCGGGGCUCAACCCCGGUUCGCAUCCAAAACUGGUUGACUUGAGUGUAGGAGAGGAAAGUGGAAUUCCACGUGUA
rnacentral:rRNA from 1 species